UUGACCUCAAAUCAGGUAGGACUACCCGCUGAACUUAAGCAUAUCAAUAAGCGGAGGAAAAGAAACUAACAAGGAUUCCCCUAGUAACUGCGAGUGAAGCGGGAAAAGCUCAAAUUUGAAAUCUGGCAGUUCUUUUGACUGUCCGAGUUGUAAUCUAGAGAAGUGUUACCUGUGCUGGACCAUGUACAAGUCUUCUGGAAUGGGGCAUCAUAGAGGGUGAGAAUCCCGUCUUUGACAUGGACUACCAGUGCACUGUGGUGCGCUCUCAAAGAGUCGAGUUGUUUGGGAAUVCAGCUCAAAAUGGGUGGUAAAUGCCAUCUAAAGCUAAAUAUUGGCGAGAGACCGAUAGCGAACAAGUACCGUGAGGGAAAGAUGAAAAGAACUUUGGAAAGAGAGUUAAACAGUACGUGAAAUUGCUGAAAGGGAAACGCUUGAAGUCAGUCACGUUGGCUAGAAAUCAGCCUUGCUUUUGCUUGGUGUACUUUCUGGUUUGACGGGUCAGCAUCGAUUUCUUUGACCAUUGGAUAAAGUCUUUGGGAAUGUGGCAUCUUUGGAUGUGUUAUAGCCCAUUGUYGCAUAYGAUGGUUGGGAUCGAGGAACUCAGCACGCYGCAAGGCCGGGUUUAUACCACGUUCGUGCUUAGGAUGCUGGCAUAAUGGCUUUAAUCGACCCGU
rnacentral:rRNA from 1 species